rnacentral:tRNA from 1 species
GAGGAUUUAGCUUAAUGAAAGUGUCUGGUUUGCGUUCAGUUGUUGUGAAUAUAAUGUUUACAAUCCUUA